UACGUAGGGGGCGAGCGUUGUCCGGAUUUAUUGGGCGUAAAGAGCUCGUAGGCGGUUUGGUAAGUUGGAUGUGAAAUCUCCAGGCUCAACUUGGAGGGGUCAUUCGAUACUGCCAUGACUAGAGUUCGGUAGGGGAGUGUGGAAUUCCUGGUGGAGCGGUGAAAUGCGCAGAUAUCAGGAGGAACACCGAUGGCGAAGGCAGGUCUCUGGGCCAUUACUGACACUGAGAAGCGAAAGCAUGGGGAGCGAACAGG
rnacentral:rRNA from 1 species